rnacentral:ncRNA from 1 species
GACUUGCCGCGCGACUGGCGAUAGACGGUCCCCUUCUGGGAUCUGAGGUGGUGAACCACCGGGAAGCGCGGCCGGCACCAGGCAUCUGGCCUGAUCGCUGCUACGCCGUUCGCCUGGGCAGCCCUC